rnacentral:lncRNA from 1 species
AUGGAGGACGAAAAGAUGCGACAGGAUUGGAAAAACACAAAUGACUUCGUUGAGUCCACUGCCACCAGCCCCCCCCACCUCUCCCUCAUGCUCCUCCACCACAGGCACCUCUUCCACCACCCCAGACACCCCUUCCAAGAGGAGAGUGCCAGGGGGCAGGCGAGGCAUGAGGAGAGCGAGGCAAAGUUGGCGGAAUGGUGGAGAAGAUGUGAUUCUCCACCAUUCUCUCAAAAUCUGAGAGAGAGAGUGUGUGUGUGUGUGUGUAUUUUUAGGUGUGCGUGUGUGUGUAUUUUUAGAUGCGUGUGUGUGUAUUUUUAGAUGUGUGGUUCAGUGUUUCUUAUUUAAAUAAAGUGUUUCUUCUAAAGUGUUCUUGUUCUUAACCGAUUAUUAUCUAAGGGUGCACUCACACUAGGCCAUCUGUCCGUGGCCGUGGCCGUUUUAGCACCUAACCGUGCUCAAAUCUGCCAGGGUGAGUGUGGCCAGUCUGGCUAAUACCACAGUAUUAUUAUUUUUUUAACACUUUAUUUAAACAUGCCAAUUACAAAAUAUAAAUACCAUUUCAGGUUAAACAUCUUUACAAUGGGUCUUGCUCGUUGCCCGAGACAAUGGCAGCCAGUCUGUCUCUUGUAACAUUACCAGGGGUCUGGUUAUCUGCUAGGGGGCACAGGGAGGCCAUGAUGUCGUCACAGGGUAGGGUUGUCCCAUUUGGUAGGGGACCGUUAAGGGGUAGCAAUGAGAUUGAGCAAUGAGGGUUAGGGUUGAGAUGUAGGGUUGAGACAGAGCAAAUGAAUGAGAUUGGGCCUAAAGGUGCGGCCACACCUGACGCGUAUCUCGCGUAAUUUUUACGCGAGAUACGCGCGUAAAAUGUUGCUUGACCAUUUUGCGUCAAAAAUUGUCGCAUACGCGCCAUACGCGCCAUACGCGCCUACGUCACUCGCCUAGAUGAGUCCAUGUCCAUGCAAGUGAACGGAGCGUUCCCUCUUCGUCAUAACUAUCAAACCAAACAUCCUUCACAUUCACCGAGCAAUCAUUAUGAAAGUAAAAUGCACAUUUCUUGCUAAAAAUGUUUCCAUAAAAGCAUUUAAUGGCGUAACUAUGUAACUAUUUCCACCCAGAAUAAAGAAAGUUGUCGGCCGUGGCUGCGCUGGAGUCCGAGGUAGGAAACCCAAACGCCGCCGUGUUUGGGUGAUAGAGUUUAGAUCAGGUUAGAUUAAAUAAUCUCGGAUAUAAAUAACAAUAAUCGGGUUAAAUAACUUCACAUGGUGUGUCUGGUGUGUUUCCAGCAUUCGUAGUGUUGAUCAGCAGAUAUAUAGUCCGCCAAGACGUUGAGGUUGCUUAGUAACCAGAGACUGUCCAUGCAAGUGAACGGAGCGUUCCCUCUUCGUCAUAACUAUCGAACCAAACAUCCUUCACAUUCACCGAACGAACAUUAUGAAAGUAAAAUGCACAUUUCUCGCAAAAAAAGUUUCCAUAAAAGCAUUUCAUGGCGUAACUAUGAUACUAUUUCCACCCAGAAUAAAGAAAGUUGUCGGCCGUGGCUGCGCUGGAGUCCGAGGUAGGAAACCCAAACGCCGCCGUGUUUGGGUGAUAGAGUUUAGAUCGGGUUAGAUUAAAUAAUCUCGGAUAUAAAUAACAAUAAUCGGGUUAAAUAACUUCACAUGGUGUGUCUGGUGUGUUUCCAGCAUUCGUAGUGUUGAUCAGCAGAUAUAUAGUCCGCCAAGACGUUGAGGUUGCUUAGUAACCAGAGACUGUCCAUGCAAGUGAACGGAGCGUUCCCUCUUCGUCAUAAC